rnacentral:rRNA from 1 species
UAGGGAAUCUUCGGCAAUGGACGAAAGUCUGGCCGAGCAACGCCGCGUGAGUGAAGAAGGUUUUCGGAUCGUAAAACUCUGUUGUUAGAGAAGAACAAGGACGUUAGUAACUGAACGUCCCCUGACGGUAUCUAACCAGAAAGCCACGGCUAACUACGUGCCAGCAGCCGCGGUAAGACGUAGGUGGCAAGCGUUGUCCGGAUUUAUUGGGCGUAAAGCGAGCGCAGGCGGUUUCUUAAGUCUGAUGUGAAAGCCCCCGGCUCAACCGGGGAGGGUCAUUGGAAACUGGGAGACUUGAGUGCAGAAGAGGAGAGUGGAAUUCCAUGUGUAGCGGUGAAAUGCGUAGAUAUAUGGAGGAACACCAGUGGCGAAGGCGGCUCUCUGGUCUGUAACUGACGCUGAGGCUCGAAAGCGUGGGGAGCAAACAGG